rnacentral:rRNA from 1 species
GACGGGGCCCGCACAAGCGGCGGAGCAUGCGGAUUAAUUCGAUGCAACGCGAAAACCUUACCACCUUUGACAUGUACGGAAUCCUUUAGAGAUAGAGGAGUGCUCGAAAGAGAGCCGUAACACAGGUGCUGCAUGGCUGUCGUCAGCUCGUGUCGUGAGAUGUUGGGUUAAGUCCCGCAACGAGCGCAACCCUUGUCAUUAGUUGCUACAUUCAGUUGGGCACUCUAAUGAGACUGCCGGUGACAAACCGGAGGAAGGUGGGGAUGACGUCAAGUCCUCAUGGCCCUUAUAGGUGGGGCUACACACGUCAUACAAUGGAUGGUACAAAGGGUCGCCAACCCGCGAGGGGGAGCCAAUCCCAUAAAGCCAUUCGUAGUCCGGAUCGCAGUCUGCAACUCGACUGCGUGAAGUCGGAAUCGCUAGUAAUCGUGGAUCAGAAUGUCACGGUGAAUACGUUCCCGGGUCUU